rnacentral:lncRNA from 1 species
AACAGAUAGAAUGAAUUCAAGUGAGAUGCAAUACAAACUAGUGAUCAAAAUUUUGAAUUGCUAAUUUAUGCAAAACAAGAAUGUUAAAUUAAUAAAGAUAGUAGGUUCAUUAGGAGCAUAAACUUUGAUACUAGAUGAUGCAGGAGGGGUUGGGGAAUGAUUGUUUUAACUUCCAGAACCUCACACAACGUACAAAUUAAAAGACUUAAACCACCUAACUCAACUUCCCUACUUGAAAGUACACCCCACCUAUAUGGCAUGCAAAAUCAAGAUAAUAGAAAAAUAAAAAAAAAAAAUAAAGGAAGAUGCAACGGCUUACUAGAUAAGUUGAUCUUAAUUUCUCGGCUCAACAAGUCUUCAGAAGCUCCUAAACUUGAAGAAAUUUGAAGAAUCCCAAAAAUUAGCCAAA